AAACAUUUGAAGGGAAAUCUAGAUCUAGAAAGUUUUAAAUAUUAGAAGAAGUUAAGUGAUUUUAUUUCAAUCGCAAUUGCAGAAAAUGAACCUUAGUAUUUCUCUAAUGGUUAUCUACAGUAGACACUUUAUACUGCUCCUACUUAAUAAAAUUCUGCAAAUCUCUGCUGAACAGUGCACACCUGAAAUCUUCACGGUAAAUCCAGAUAAAAGGGAUGUAAAAUUACAGGGAUUUAUCUAUCGUUCGUUUGAUCAAACACCACCAAGAGCUUGCUUCAUAAAAUGUAUCCGACGACCACGAUGCCAUUCUUACAACUAUAACAGGGUCCAUCUUACAUGCGAGAUUAAUCUGAAACCAGAGUAUCUUUAUGAUGUGUACUUUCAACAUGCCAACGGUUAUAUCUACGUUGUGAUUCAACAUUACAGAGGGAAUACCCUUUUUGACCCGUGUGUAGGAAAUCUAUGCAGCACAGAUGAAGUUUGUGCAAGCCUAAAGAAUAAAAAGAUUAUUUGUAUAAAGGUUGAUGUUAAUAUACCGAACGAAAAUCCUGAAAUGUGGCGCUUAGAAAGCCCACCCAACAAAGCUCAACGGCACGGUCAGACUUUUCUGCAUCUAAAGCUGUUGAUGGCUUAACACAUACGAUUUCACACACAGACAAUAAUUUAUCACCAUAUUUGUGGAUUGAUCUGGAAAUCAUUUACAACAUUUUUCGGAUUGAAAUUAUCAACAGAAACAGAUAUGGUACGUUUUUAAUGUUAACCAAAUAAAUUUUGAGUAAUAUUUCAACGCUAAGUGUUACAUGUGAAACCUUGGGAUAAGAUCAACUGGUAAUUGCAACGAUGUGGUCUUCCUGCAAAUAUGUCUGAUUGUGUGGUGUUUUUUUUUUUUUUUUAAUAUAUUUUGUACAAUGUU